rnacentral:rRNA from 1 species
AGUGAACGCUGGCGGCAGGCUUAACACAUGCAAGUCGAGCGGGGGAGGUUGCUUCGGUAACUGACCUAGCGGCGGACGGGUGAGUAAUGCUUAGGAAUCUGCCUAUUAGUGGGGGACAACAUUCCGAAAGGAAUGCUAAUACCGCAUACGCCCUACGGGGGAAAGCAGGGGAUCUUCGGACCUUGCGCUAAUAGAUGGGCCUAAGUCGGAUUAGCUAGUUGGUGGGGUAAAGGCCUACCAAGGCGACGAUCUGUAGCGGGUCUGAGAGGAUGAUCCGCCACACUGGGACUGAGACACGGCCCAGACUCCUACGGGAGGCAGCAGUGGGGAAUAUUGGACAAUGGGCGGAAGCCUGAUCCAGCCAUGCCGCGUGUGUGAAGAAGGCCUUUUGGUUGUAAAGCACUUUAAGCGAGGAGGAGGCUCUUAAGGUUAAUACCCUUGAUGAGUGGACGUUACUCGCAGAAUAAGCACCGGCUAACUCUGUGCCAGCCGCCGCGGUAAAAC